CCGUGUGCGACUUUGACCGCCGCACGAUCCUCUGCCGGGGGAGGUGGGCCCGCUGCGCUUUGGGAGCACCCGCGCCCGACACUGAGGUCUCGGUGCUGUGUUCGGCCUCUUCGUCCCUGCGGGUCCCCUCUGGGAGCAGAGGCGGUCGGAAAACCCUGGGGCUGAAGUGCAGGCUUCGGGAGGACGCGACCUGCCAAGAUCAGCUCCCGGCACGUGAUGGGAGCCUGGCUCACCUUCCCCCAGCGCACGAUGGGCCGCAGCCUCCCCGGUCGGCCUGGCCUGCUGGAAAGGAGCAGCUCUGUUUCCAGAGGCUUCUGGCGAAGCCCACGGCCUCCCAUUGUUGGCUGAUUUAUAAGGAAAGAGGGGAAAGGCCAAGUGUGGAUGCCAUUAGCAUAACCUAAUCCAGACCCCAUGACAAGUCCAGGAUCCUGCAGGGAGAGGGCAUCCUUGAACGUGAAGGACUGGCUUUGGAAACUUGGCCUCCCGGAAGAAAGGUCUCCGGGCCCACCCACACCCACCUUGUGGACGCCCCCGCAGUCGAAUACACUCCACAGGAAGACGGACCACAAACAGCAGCAGCCUCCGGUGUCGGCCCAGUGAUCCGGGAGCUCAGAGUGUAGGUACCUGACGGCUUGACUCGUCCCCAGGACAAGGCCUGUGAGAGGGAGGGGGGCACUCUGAGUGUGCGAAUGUGUGAGUGUGUGUGUCUGGGCACGAGUGUGUAUGCGUGUGUGUGUGCAUGUACUAUAUUCACAUGUGUGAGAGUGUGAAUGUGUGUGUCUGUGGGUCUGCGCACAUAAGUGUGUGUGUGCAUAUACUAUAUUCACGUGUGACUGUGCAAAUGUGAGUGUGUCUGUAGGUCUGGGCACGUGUAUGCGUGUGUGUGCGAGUACUAUAUUCACAUGUGUGAGUGUGCGAAUGUGUCUGUGGGUCUGGGCACACGAGUGUGUAUGCGUGUGUAUGCAUGUACUAUAUUCACGUGUGUGAGUGUGCGAAUGUGUCUGUGGGUCUGGGCACAUGAGUGUGUGCAUAUACUAUAUUCACAUGUGUGAGUGUGCAAAUGUGAGUGUGUCUGUAGGUCUGGGCACAUGUGUAUGCAUGUGUGUGCGAGUACUAUAUUCACGUGUGUGUGAGUGCGAAUGUGAGUGGGUGUGGGUCUGGUCACAUGUAUGUAUGCAUGUGUGCAUGUAUUAUAGUCAUGUGAGUGUGCAAAUGUGUGAGUGUGGGUCUGGGCACACAAGUGUGUAUGCAUGUGUUUCUAUUGUAUUCAUGUGAGUAUAAGUGCAAAUGUGUGUGUGUUCUCUGCACACACAAGUGUAUAGGUAUGUUUGUGUGUGCAUGCAUUGUAUUCAUGUGAGUGUAUGUGAAUGUGUGACUGUGAGAGUUUGAGUGUGCCUGUGUGUCUGGCUAUACUAGUGCGUGCCUGUGUUCGUGUGCAUCAGUCUGGGUGUGCCCGUGUGUGAAUGUGAGUGUCUAUGCGUGGGUGUCCCAAUAUGUGUGUGCCUGUGUAUCCAUGUCUGGGUGUGCCCGUGGGUGUGAGUGUCUGUGCGUGGGUGUCUGGAUACGUAUGUGCCUGUAUGAGUGUGUAUCCAUGUCUGGGUGUGCCCACGGGUGUGAGUGUGAAUAUGUAAGUCUUGCGUGUGCAUGAGUGUGUUCACAUGAGUGUGAGGGUCUGUGCAUAACAGCCUAUUGUGUGAGUGUGUGCAUGUGGAUUGCAUUUAUGUGAGUCCGUGUCUGUGCACGCACGUGUCCCCGCACAAGCCAGCCCGAGAGGGAGUGUCCCCUGAACACACCCUGGCAGCACUUGCAGCGUGACGAGGUUGAGGGAAUGUGUCGCUGAGGUCGUAAAUGCCUCUCGCACGUCCCAACACGCUGGAGCAACAGCAGCCCGUGACGCCGGCCGUGCAGCCGUGAAGUCCGUGGAGCGUCCCUAAUCACUGGGGGUUCUGCUUUGCGGCGACAGCGGUGCUACUCACAGCUCCAGAACUCUGCAGCUUCCCCCCUGAAACGGGAACGGGAAGGUGGCGCGGGCGUCCACACCUCGAGCCACAGCCGGCGGGAGGCACAGGCUGGCAAAACUGCCUCUCAGUAGUGAGAAGAGACAAACAAACCGAACGCCAGGAGCAGAGGAAACGAAGACGAUGUGGCCAAGAAAAAUUGCAUUUUUCUUUCCAGUUUUGCUAAAAUAGCCUUCUCAUUGGCUGCGGCUUUGGAGGUGGCAGAAAUCAUACGUUUAAUCACGGCGCCCUCCUGCUUGCCAAGCUUUGCGUCCUCCAGAAUUGUCCUGUGAGUGACUCCCACAGGAUGGAGACUUUUGUGUCUGGCUUCCUUCACUUCGCAGCAGGCUUCGCGGGACCCGUGUGGUGGCACCAGCGUCCCGCCCUUGGUGCUGCUGAGCUGUAGGUUGUGGGACAGGUGGAGGUACACAGUUGCUCACGGGUUCACCUGUGGAUGGGCAUGUGGGCUGUUGUGAGUGAAGCCACUUUAGACAUUUGCGUGCAGGUUUGGUGGGGACGUGCAGUUUCAUUUCUUUUGAGAGUGGGAUUGCUGGAGCCCGUGUUAAGGGUACGUUCAACUCAUCAGCUCAACUGUCUUCCAAAUGGCAGCCCCGUUUUCCACCCCCGCCAGCAACGCCCGCGACUCCAGGCGCGCGGCAUUUUCAUCAGCACCUGGCAGUGGUGAUUCAUAAUGCUUUCAAUGUUAAUUUCCCUCAUGACUAGUGAUGUUAAACAUCUUAGGUAUUAUUUCAUGGGUUAUUUCCAAUCUUUUACCUACUUUUUAGUGGAUUAUAUUUGUCUUCUUAGUAUUGAGUUAUAAGAGUUAAAUAUUGUGGGUACAAGUCCCCUGUCAGAAAUGUGUUUUGUAAAUAAUUUCUUCUAGUCUGUGGUUUGUCUCUUCAUUUUCUUAAGUAUGUCUUUAAAGAGCAGAGGCUUUUGAUUUGGAUAAAGUUCAGUUUGUCAGUUUUUUCUUUUAGGGUUAUGUUUUUGUAUCCUAUCUAAGAAUCUUUGACUAUCAAAUUCUCACAAAGCAGUUUUUUGUUUUCUUCUAGAUGUUUUACGGUUUUAAAUUUUACCUUCAGGUCUACAACCAUUGUGAUUUAGAUUUUGUAUUUAAUGUAAGGUAUAAGUUGAGAUUCAUUUCUCUCUGUUUUUGGAGACUUAUGUCCAGCUAUUCCAGAACCAUUUGUUGGAAAGAGUAUCUUUAUCCCAUCAAGUUAUGUGGGCACUUUGUUGAAAAAGAUCUAUUGACCAUAUAUACAUGCGUUUAUUUCCAAGACUCUAUUUUGUUUUGUUGACUGACUUGUUUGUCCUUAUGACAAUAUCACACUGUUUUGAUUACAGUGGCAUUAUUGUACCUCUUGCAAAAAUCAAGUGUGAAUCUUCCAAAGAAGAUUUGGAAGAUUUUCUCUUUCAAAGUUGUGUGAGUUAUUUAAGUGCCUUUUAAUUUUCAUAUAAGUUUAGAAUUAGCUUGCAGUUUCUAAAAGAAAAAAAAAGUCUGAUGAGACUUUGAUUGUGAUUCCAUUGGAUCUAUAGCUCAGUUUGCAGGGAUUUACAUCUUAACAAUACUGAGUCCUCAAAUCCAUGAACAUGGUACAUCUCUCCAUUUAUUUAGGUCUUCUUGUAUUUUUUCUCAUCAACAUCUUAUAGUUUUAAGUAAACAAAUUUUGCACAUAUUUUGUAAGAUUUAUCAUUAAGUAUUUCAUGUUUGUGAUGUUAUGGUGAAUAUUGUUUUUAAAUUCAAUUUCCUAUUGUCCACUGCUAGUAUAUGGAAAUACAAUUGGUUUUCAUACAUUAACCUUAUGUCCAGCAACUUUGCUAAAUGUAUAAGCUCUUACACAUUUUCUGGUAGAUUGUUUAGGAUUUUCUACAUCGAUGAUCAUGUUGAGUGCAUAUAAAGGCAAUUUUAUGUCUUAUUUCCAAUCUGCAUGCCUUUCACUUCUUUUCCUGGCUUUAUUUCAGUGGCCAGAACCUCUAGCACAGUGUUAAUAAGAGUGAUGAGAGUGACAUUCUGACUUUGUUUCCAGUCUUUCUGCUUCGAUCAUUAUCAUAUUCUUUCUUUUCCUUACUUUGAAUUUAUUGUGCUCUUCCUUUUCUAGGCUUUUAAGGGUAGAAGCUUAGAUUACUGAUUGGAGAACUUUCUUCUUUUCACAUAUAUACAUUUAAUGCUAUAAAUGUUCUUCCAAGCACUGCCUUGCCAGCACCUACAAAUUGUCAUAUGUAUUUUCUUUUUUGCUCAAUUAAUUUUUUUUCUAAUUUCUCUUUGGAUUUUUUGAUCUAUCAGUCAUUUUAAAAUAUGUUCUUUAACUUCCAAAUAUUUGAAGAGACAUACUAUUAAUUUCUGGCUUAAUUCUGUUGUGGCCACAUAUUUCGCAUAACUUCACUUUUUAAAAUUUGUUGAGAUCUGUUUUACGGCCUGGAAUAUGGUCUAUCUUGGUGAAUGCUCCAUGUGCAUUUGUAAAAAAGUGUGUAUUCUGGCCGGGAGUGGUGGCUCACGCCUGUCAUCCCAGCACUUUGGGAGGCCGAGGCGGGUGGAUCACGAGGUCAGGAGAUCAACACCAUCCUAGCCAACACAGUGAAACCCCGUCUCUACUGAAAAUACAAAAAAUUAGCCAGGCGUGGUGGCGGGCGCCUGUAGUCCCAGCUAUUCGGGAGGCUGAGGCAGGAGAAUUGCUUAAAGCUGGGAGGCGGAGCUUGCAGUGAGCUGAAAUCGUGCCACUGCACUCCAGCCUGGGCGACAGCGAGACUGCGUCUCAAAAAAAAAAAAAAAAAGUGUGUAUUCUGCUAAUAUUGAAAGUAUUGCUUAAUAAAUGUCAAAUCAAUCAAUUUGGAUGAUAUUGUGAUUCAGGGUUCUACAUCCUUACUGGUUUCCUGUCUACUUCUUCUAUAGCUUACAGAGAGGAGUAUUGGAGGAGUAUUGAAGUUUCCAACGAUACUCAGGGAUUUUUCUAUUUCUUCUUUACUUUGUGAUCCAUGUGUUUUGAAAUUCCGCUGUUAGGUGCAAGCAUAUUUACAACUGCUAUAUUUUCCUACAGAAUGGCACUUUUAUUUGUUUGUUUGUUUGUUUGUUUUUUGAGACAGAGUCUCUCUGUCACCCAGGCUGGAGUGCAGUGGGACCACGUUGGCUCACUGCAACUUCCAUCUCAUGGGUUCAAGCAAUUCUCCUGCCUCAGCCUUCUGAGUAGCUGGGAUUACAGACACCCACUACCACGCCCGGCUAAUUUUUUUAUAUUUUUAGUAGAGACAGGGUUUCACCAUGUUGGCCAGGCUGGUCUCGAACUCCUGACCUCAGGUGAUCCACCCGCCUCGGCCUCCCAAAGUGCUGGGAUUACAGGUGUGAGCCACCGCGCCUGGCCAGAAUGGCACUUUCAGGAUCAUAUAAUGUAUCUAUUCAUCUCUGGUAAUAUUCCUUGUUCGGAUAUCUAUUUUAUCUGAUACUAACAUCUCCGCCCCAGCUUUCUUUUAAUAGUUCAGAAUAUAACUAUUUCUGUCCCUUACCUUCAAUCCACUUAUGUUUUUAUGUUAUUUUUUUUUUCUUUUGUAGACAGCAUAGAGUUGGAUCUUGUUUUUAUAUCUACCCAACCUAAAAAUCUGGAUAUUUUUAUUGGGAAGUUGAAUUUAAAUCUACCACCUUGACAUUUAUUUUGUAUUUGUCUCGUCUGUUCUUUUUAAAUAAUUUUUCCGUUUUUCUUCCUUCUAUUGGAUCAAGUACUUUUUUUUAAAGUGAAAGCCAAUUUAUUAAGAAAGUGAAGGAAUAAAAGAAUGGCUACUCCAUAGGCAGAGCUGCUGAGUAUUUUUUAUUAUUUCAUUUUAUCUUCACUAUUGCCUUGUUAUACCUCUUAGUGUAGCUGUUCAUGGUUGCAGUAGGGCUUAUGAUAAAGUUACAGCUGUAGCUUCUCAGUCUGCCAUUACACAAUAUUCUACCACUUCACAUACAUGUAGUAACCUGACAGCAAGGCCUGUACUUCCUCCCUCCCAUACUUGGUACUGUUGUUACCACAGAUUUGCUUCUGCAUGUUACAAACCCCACAAUACACUUUUCCCGUCUUUGCUUCAGGUAGUCAAUUAUCUUUCUGUCUUUGGAUAUCUUUUUAAAGAUAUAAUCCACAUACAUAAAAUGCACCCAUUUGAAGCAUGCAGUUCCAGAGACCAGAGGUUCUCAAACUCUGUAUGGGAAUCACACAGGUUCCUGGUAAAAGGCAGACUUCCAGGCCCCUGCUGGAGUUUCUGACUCAGCAGGUCUGGGUGGGGCCUGAGAAUCUGAAUUUAUAGCAAGUUCACAGGUGAACAUUUGUGUGGCUAUCAAGGGACACCUGGGGCCGGGCAACUUCUAAAGAAAAGUGGUUUCUUUGGCUCACAGUUCUGCAGGCUGUACAAGAAGCCUGGCAACAGAAUCUGCUUCUGGUGGGGCCUCCGGCUGCUCCUGCUUAGGGUGGAGGGUGAAGGGGAGCCAUGUGUGCAGAGGGCACAGUGGGAGAGGAAGCCAAAGGGAGGGAGGGGCCACGCUCUUUUAACACCUGGCUCACGCAGGAACUAAUUGAGCAAGGGCUCGUUCAUGACUGCCAGGUGGGGUCGGCAGGAAGCCAUUCCUGAGGGACCUGACCCUUGACCCAAACCCCCGCCCGUAGGCCUCACUCCAACACUGGGGAUACAUUUCAACAUGAGAUGUGGAGGGGACACACGUCCAAACCACAGCACCAGGCAAUGCUUACACUGCGGGUCUGGGGCCCACUCCGAGAAUGACUGCUCCGGACAAAAUUACACACACGGACCACGCACCCACCCACAGGAUCACACGCCCGUCUUCGGGUUGGGGGUGCAGGGAGGACGGGUAGAGAUGUGUUGGGGUGCAAAGGAAAAGUCCUCAUGGCCCACAUAUGUGCUCUGACCC
rnacentral:lncRNA from 1 species